UCUUUGUUGUUUCCUUAUCUAUGGAGCACCUGUAGGUGUUGGAGAAGGUUUGUUUAUACUACAGCAAUAUCAUCUAUUUUGGUGAGGAAGACAAGAUCCAAAGGUCCUCCAAAAUCGCUAUCAGGUUUCGGGCCCUUACAGAGAAUACAGUUCUUUUCUUUUGGGCGUACGAGAUGGGCUUUAAUAGGUAUAUCCAGAAGGUGAAAGAGU
rnacentral:lncRNA from 1 species